rnacentral:tRNA from 1 species
GGGCGGGUAGCUCAGUUGGUAGAGCAGUAAUUACCUUUCCUUAAUUUAUUUACUCACCUGCAAAGGUCGAAGAAUUAAGGGUUACCGGACGGGAGUUCAAGUCUCCCCCCGUCCA